GUAAUAUUGCAUAGCAGACUGUAGUUGUUUGACAGAGGUAAGAUAUUGCAUUGCUUCUUGGCGAUCAUGAGUGAAAAGAGAAGAGAUGGUGGUGGAAUCAGAGUCCCAUUUGGAAAUGAUGAUAUGGGCAUUGUCAAUAUUCUCAUCUAUCAAUGUAUCAGAGAAAGUAUGGCGAUGGGGUGGUGAUCUCAUUGGAGAAGAUGAAGGAGAUGGCUUGAAGAAUACAGUCCUCAUACCUUUCCUCGGCAUAUAGAGUAGUCAAAGAUUAAAGCAAAUUGAAUGAAUGAAUGAAUUUGAGAGAGCAAUGGUAAUGGUUUCUGUGGAGGAAGUGAUGGGGUAUUUAUAGAGGAGAGAGGGCGAGGGUAAGUUAGAAAAGAGAGAGAUAGUUUUGACUGUGUCUGAAGAGUCUACGCGGUUGUGUUGUUCGUUUCUUUGUGGCUUU
rnacentral:misc_RNA from 1 species